ACAGGCAGGUGGUCAGGCAGGGGGACAGACAGACAGACAGAGAGAGACAGACAGGCAGGUGGUCAGGCAGGUAGACAGACAGACAGACAGACAGAGACAGACAGACAGGCAGGUGGUCAGGCAGGUAGACAGACAGACAGACAGACAGACAGAGAGAGACAGACAGGCAGGUGGUCAGGCAGGUAGACAGACAGACAGACAGACAGACAGAGACAGACAGGCAGGUGGUCAGGCAGGUAGACAGACAGACAGACAGACAGACAGACAGACAGACAGAGACAGACAGGCAGGUGGUCAGGCAGGUAGACAGACAGACAGACAGACAGACAGAGACAGACAGGCAGGUGGUCAGGCAGGGGGACAGAGAAACAGGCAGAGAAGCAGGAAUCAGAAUUAAAAACAAUUCACCCUCAAGACAGCUAAAGACAUAGCAUUCGAUUAUAAACCAAAGAGCCAGU